UAGGGAAUAUUGGACAAUGGGCGCAAGCCUGAUCCAGCCAUGCCGCGUGAAUGAUGAAGGCCUUCGGGUUGUAAAAUUCUUUUCUGAGGGAAGAACAUCCGGGUGAGGAAAUGCUCCCGGUCUGACGGUACCUCAGGAAUAAGGGACGGCUAACUCCGUGCCAGCAGCCGCGGUAAUACGGAGGUCCCGAGCGUUGUUCGGAAUUACUGGGCGUAAAGGGAGCGCAGGCGGACGGGUCAGUCUAAAGUGGAAAUCCGGGGCUUAACCUCGGACUUGCUUCGGAUACUGCCCGUCUUGAGUUCGUGAGAGGAAGAUGGAAUUCAGGGUGUAGCGGUGAAAUGCUCAGAUAUCCUGAGGAACACCAGUGGCGAAAGCGGUCUUCUGGCACGAAACUGACGCUGAGGCUCGAAAGCGUGGGUAGCAAACA
rnacentral:rRNA from 1 species